rnacentral:sRNA from 1 species
AGUAAAAUUACAUGUUAAUACGUAGUAUUAAUGGCGAGACUCCUGAGGGAGCAGUGCCAGUCGAAGACAGGGGCCCCAACACAGAAGCUGACAUAUAGUCAGCUUACAACAAUGUGCCGGUUGGGGUAGCUGAGACGGCACCCUAGGAAGGGACCCAUCAUCAAAAAUUCUAUUUAUAGAAUUUUACAGUAAUGUGCCAGAUGGGCAAAGCGAAGCCAUUCAAUACGAAGUAUUGUAUAAAUAGAGAACAGCAG